rnacentral:rRNA from 1 species
UACAGAGGGUGCAAGCGUUAAUCGGAAUUACUGGGCGUAAAGCGUGCGUAGUCGGUUAUUUAAGUCGGGCGUGAAAGCCCCGGGCUCAACCUGGGAAUUGCGUUCGAUACUGGAUAGCUAGAGUUCGGCAGAGGGAAGCGGAAUUUCGGGUGUAGCGGUGAAAUGCGUAGAUAUCCGAAGGAACAUCUGUGGCGAAAGCGGCUUCCUGGACCAGAACUGACGAUCAGGCACGAAAGCGUGGGGAGCAGACAGG